CUCCCACCCAGGAGUUGAUUCAACAACAGACCAGGAUCAGAGGCUGCAGGUACCAAAACCAAGGAGCGCUUUCCUUUGGGGGUCCCUAUCAGGCACUUGGAGAAGAUGUAGGAAAAGCACUCAGCACAGUAUCAGACCCAGCAGCAUGACUUCUUCCUUCUUAGGAUGCUGGCACCCCUGGAAGAAAUGGACCAAGACGCCAGAUCCUAUCUCUUUCCCCUCUGUUGUGAUGUAAUGGAUUUCUUGCUCCUGGUCCCAGUCACAAAGCCUCGAAAAGCCACCGCCUGAGAUCACGAACCCUGGCCCUUUUUUUGCCAGCAGGAGCGGGAAUUGGCUGCAGCUCCCCUCCCGAAGCUCCUUGCCUACACACCUGGCCACCUGCUCAGGGGCCCCAUCCCAGCAGCUGCACACACUCAUGCCUCUGUGUCCUUCAAACCCUCCCUUCUCUCGUACUCUCUUCGUCCAAACCUGCCUGGAUCCAGGGCCGCCUGUGUAAAUGUUGCACUGUCCCCCAGAGGUGCCAGGCAAGAUGGCCCUUUCUUUACAAGCACUUUCCCCCUAAACCAACUAGUUCCUAUCAAGUUGGCCGCUCUAAUUUGUGGAUGAAUUAAGCAAACGAGUGAAUGCACAAUGGAUCAGAAGCUGAAGUGCUCUGGGCUGGGAGAUGGGUGCAGAGGCUUGCUGUGUUAAUAGCCAGUAACAGCCAAGCACCUACUGUGUGCCUGUACCUCACAGCUCCUGGGGACACGAGGCCACCAGGAACCCCAACACGGAGAUCCACUGGGCUGCCAAGGGAGCUGAUGACCCCGUACAGCCAUCAAGGAAGGAGUCACCAGGCAAAGGGCCAGGCAGGGUGGGGUCAGGUGGGGGUCUUCUAGGCAAAAGAGUGGAGCUUACUUGGCACCGAGUAAGUCCUUUGUAGCACAUGCCACUUGUCUUACCGUUACACUUUGGUAUUUAACUCCCCCUAGACUAAACUCCAGGACAGGGCGAGGACCAGAUGGUGCCUUCUGGGCUGAGCAUGACAGUUCUGGCAGCAGCCUAACUCAUUAAACAUUAACCAGUGGAAUAUUCAGGAACCUGCAGGUGGCUCAGACUGGCCCCAGGUAGAGAGUGUAAGGAGGAAGCUGCAGUGGAGCGCUGGGAAGAG
rnacentral:lncRNA from 1 species